UGCAGAGGGUGCAAGCGUUGUUCGGAUUUACUGGGCUUAAAGCGUGUGUAGGCGGAUCGUUAAGUGUCUUGUGAAAUCCCACGGCUCACCCGUGGAACUGCUGGGCAUACUGGCGAUCUUGGGCCAACUAGGGGCAACUGGAACAAGCGGUGGAGCGGUGAAAUGCGUAGAUAUCGCUUGGAACGCCAACGGUGAAAACAGGUUGCUGGGGUUGUGCCGACGCUGAGACACGAAAAGCCAGGGGAGCAAACGGGG
rnacentral:rRNA from 1 species